UAGUGUGUAUAUAAUGCAGUGUGUUUGUGUAGUGUGCAUUAUAUAAACACACUAUACAAACACACUGCAUUAUAUAAACACACU
rnacentral:miRNA from 1 species